rnacentral:piRNA from 1 species
UAGGAAGUAGCCGAAAGGAGAUCGGUUGU